UACGUAGGGACCAAGCGUUGUUCGGAUUUACUGGGCGUAAAGGGCGCGUAGGCGGCAGAUCAAGUCAGCUGUGAAAUCUCAGGGCUUAACCCUGAACGGGCAGCUGAUACUGUUUUGCUAGAGUACAGAAGGGGCAAUCGGAAUUCUUGGUGUAGCGGUGAAAUGCGUAGAUAUCAAGAGGAACACCUGAGGUGAAGACGGGUUGCUGGGCUGAUACUGACGCUGAGGCGCGAAAGCUAGGGUAGCAAACGGG
rnacentral:rRNA from 1 species